rnacentral:rRNA from 1 species
GAUGAACGCUGGCGGCGUGCCUAAUACAUGCAAGUCGAGCGAACGGACGAGAAGCUUGCUUUUCUGAUGUUAGCGGCGGACGGGUGAGUAACACGUGGAUAACCUACCUAUAAGACUGGGAUAACUUCGGGAAACCGGAGCUAAUACCGGAUAAUAUUUUGAACCGCAUGGUUCAAAAGUGAAAGACGGUCUUGCUGUCACUUAUAGAUGGAUCCGCGCUGCAUUAGCUAGUUGGUAAGGUAACGGCUUACCAAGGCAACGAUGCAUAGCCGACCUGAGAGGGUGAUCGGCCACACUGGAACUGAGACACGGUCCAGACUCCUACGGGAGGCAGCAGUAGGGAAUCUUCCGCAAAGGGCGAAAGCCUGACGGAGCAACGCCGCGUGAGUGAUGAAGGUCUUCGGAUCGUAAAACUCUGUUAUUAGGGAAGAACAUAUGUGUAAGUAACUGUGCACAUCUUGACGGUACCUAAUCAGAAAGCCACGGCUAACUACGCG